rnacentral:lncRNA from 1 species
UAAGAUUUUAAGUGCUCGUCGAUACAUAUCAUAUCCAUCGUAUCGUGCUAAUAAUACAAAUUCCGUGCCGAUAGCACAGCUAAAAACUCUCUAUUUUUUAAAUUAAUAAAUAAUUUCAUCAAUAAAAUUUAAAAAAUGUGAUAAAAAGGCAUAAUAAAUAGUUAGAAUAUUUUAUUGCUAAAAAAAAUAAAUAUUUUAUAUUAUUAUGUGUCGACACAUAAUAAUUUUUUUGACCGGCACGUAUCGGCAUGGUUCGGCACACACCG